ACCUGUAGCGUGAGGCCAUCGGAGCUGGUGGUAGACCACGUGGCGCAAUCGCCUUGGUCUGCAACGAGUAUAUAUCGCUCACGUCCGAGCUGCUGUCACAGAUUUCAUAGGGUUAGAUUAAAAGCCUCUUCCAUCUAUCAAAACAAACAUAAGUGUUUUUGCCGUGAGAGGCGUAGGAGGCAUAGGGCAUGAUGAUUCAUUUCCUGGCUGUCUCUAAUUCGCUUGGUGCAGGUCGGGAACCGUUUCGUCCCGUUUGAGCUUAUGAAUCUGCUGGCUCGAGGCUGCGGGACGAAACGGAUCCCGCCUUGCAUCAACUGAAUCGGAGACCGCGGUGAAGGCGGUUUCAUGGAUCUUGCGUUCCUGCUUUGCUCGUUCGUCAGAUCUCGUCUCAGAGAAACAGAGUUACUGUUUUGGGGGAAUUUGAGAAAAGCAUAGAAUCUUUCAAAAAGAAUGAGCAAAGCAUGGCGUGUUCAGACACUCGCUCGGAGUCUUUAGUUUUUUACUAAAUAAAAAAUUGUUGUAGGGUUUCGACGAGGCCACUAGCAUCCCCUUGUGUUAGGGGAAUUGGAUCCCAGGUUCCCAUCCGGAUUCAUUUUGGAAAGAUCAGCACAUUUUAGCCAUUUAUCUUGUAUUAGUUAUAAAUUAUAUGAUUUUUUCUAAAUACAAAUAAUAUCUGACGAAAACUAACUGCACGAUGGACGAUGAACGGUUAACAUGUGAGAAUUCUUAGAGGUUCUUUGAAAUAUUAAUGACAUUCUUAUUUUUGAUUAAGAAAAAAAAACCGACGCAUUAACUGCUCGCUUUAUAAUUAAUCUUGUUUUUUAUUUUCACAAGUGCACAUAAAGGAAUGAUGAACGAAAAAAGUGAAGGGAGAAAUAAAAAAAAUGUGUGAAACAAAAACUUAAAUACGUUUAAUUGGUUUAAUCGAUUAUAAUCUUUCGUAGUUUCAUGUACAAUUCUUCCACUUUUUUCUCAAGGCUUUAUUUACGUUU